rnacentral:rRNA from 1 species
UACGUAGGGUGCAAGCGUUAAUCGGAAUUACUGGGCGUAAAGCGUGCGCAGGCGGUUGUGCAAGACCGAUGUGAAAUCCCCGGGCUUAACCUGGGAAUUGCGAUGGAGACUGCAAGGCUUGAAUCUGGCAGAGGGGGGUAGAAUUCCACGUGUAGCAGUGAAAUGCGUAGAGAUGUGGAGGAACACCGAUGGCGAAGGCAGCCCCCUGGGUCAAGAUUGACGCUCAUGCACGAAAGCGUGGGGAGCAAACAGG